rnacentral:lncRNA from 1 species
GUGCAAGAAGCAGACAUAAGAACUGCAUUUAUUUCCAUAAUUCCCCAUUUGAAUGACUUUUUCUUUUUGCUUAGACAAUGCCUACACCUAGCCACAGCAGCUCCCUCAUCCAGACUCCACAAACCAAGAGGCCAUGGAGGCAAAUGCAGGCAGCCAGCACACCUCGAACAGCCACCUUGACUGAGGGUGUGUCACCCUAGUCGCCAAGGAAGCAUUUGAGGAAAAGCGACAGGCAAUGUGAACAGCCACUUCUCCAUGUAAACGAUACUCUUUCUCUCGGACUGACUCCUACGCCUCGCCACGCCAGCUCAUCUGUGCAGACUCCACCAACAAAGAUGCCGCGGAGGCACGUGCAGGUCAGAGGCAAGAAGCAGUGGCACUGGUGUUGACAUUCACCCAAUUUCUUUCUUUUUCUUGCACUGAGGCAGCCAGCACACCUCGAACAGCCACCUUGACUGCAGGUGUAUCAGCAGGUUCCUGUUGUACAUAUGCUCAUAAUAAACUUCAGUAAGCUUGAACUUGAUAAUAAACUUGAAGGCAAAUG